GGGUACGAUCAUACCAACGUUAAUACACCGGAUCCCAUCAGAGCUCCGCAGUUAAGCGUGCUUGGGCUAGAGUAGUACUGGGAUGGGUGACCUCCCCAGUGGAGUCCCCAAUCUGUUGCACCCU
rnacentral:rRNA from 1 species